rnacentral:rRNA from 1 species
UACGGAGGGAGCUAGCGUUGUUCGGAAUUACUGGGCGUAAAGCGCGCGUAGGCGGCUUUGUAAGUUAGAAGGUGGAAAGCCCCGGAGCUCAACUCCGGAGCUGCCUUUGAUACUGGAGAGCGUUGAGUCCGGAAGAGGUGAGUGGAACGUCCGAGUGUAGAGGUGAAAUUCGUAGAUAUUCGGAAGAACACCAGUAGGCGAAGGCGGCUGCACUAGGU